UUGCCUAUGAUGACUUGCUUGUUGCCUACAUUGUCUGAUUAUUAUCUCUAUGAUAAUAGUCCCACGAUCUGAGGCUAA
rfam:Zea mays cultivar B73 chromosome 1, whole genome shotgun sequence.